rnacentral:rRNA from 1 species
AUACGUAGGGGGCAAGCGUUAUCCGGAUUUACUGGGUGUAAAGGGAGCGUAGACGGCUGUGCAAGUCUGAUGUGAAAGCCCGGGGCUCAACCCCGGUACUGCAUUGGAAACUGUACGGCUCGAGUGCAGGAGAGGUAAGUGGAAUUCCUAGUGUAGCGGUGAAAUGCGUAGAUAUUAGGAGGAACACCAGUGGCGAAGGCGGCUUACUGGACUGUAACUGACGUUGAGGCUCGAAAGCGUGGGGAGC